CAGUAUUGUUUUAUACCAGCUGCUUGCUUCCUGGGGGCCUAGUGUGCAAUGGCUGCCAACAGCAGCCUUCUUGAUGGUGUAUGCAACCUGUUGCUUGUACAGGUUGCCCUAAGGGACCUUGGAGACAGCC